rnacentral:tRNA from 1 species
CGACGCGGGUGGGUUUCGAUCCCACUACCUUGAGAUUAACAAUCUCACGCACCACCUAUCGCGCUGCCGCGUC